UAAGCCUUGUCGUCGCCCAUAAGAUCCACUUUGUCCAACAAUUGGGAUUUUCAGUUCCCCGUAGCUAUUACCCGAUCUCCUCCACGCGUCCCCAGGUUUCUUCUCUUCUCUUCUCAUUUCCCAAUUGUUUUUCUUGCUCUUUGGGUCUUGCUAGUUUUUGUUAAUUUUGGUUAGAGAGUUGAAUGAUUGUGAUCAGACUCACUUUUCGGAGAAGAAAAGAAAAUUGAAAAUGGGAGAACUGAGUUCAAAGAAAGAGAAUUUGGGAAACGAAAUCCGCACAAACCGACGGAGGUGAGUAUUCGACGAUUUUGGUUAGUUAUAUGGAAUUGAUGAAACUUCGACGGCUCUCCCUUCUUGAAUAUGUUGUUUAUGGGAUUUGAUUUCUACACCAAAGUGAGGAAAAUUCUAUUAAGCUAUCAUAUAUUCAUAUUGGCUAUGAUUGAAUGGUACAUGACCAUAAUAGCUUGAAUUCCAGUAAAAGCUUUGUGGAUUUGGGAUUUGAAGUUUGAGGUUUUAUUUUUAUUUUUUGGAUUUGAAUUUUGCAGUUUUUGAAAUUUUACAUGUUAGUUGAUGUUGUUAUCCUUUUCAUGUUAAAGUCCAAUGUAUGAUUUAGCAGGUUAGAUGAGAUAUUGGAUUUGCUGAACCUUCAGGUAGUUAGAAAAUAUGCCAAUGUCUCCAAUGGAGGGGUGCCAUUUAAUUAGAAAGUAAACAUCCCACAUUGUUAUCAGCCCUAGACCACCAUUUUACACAUUUCAGACCAACAAUUUGAUUGCUUGUUUUCUCUGCUAUGUACUCAAAUCUAUUACAGCUACUGGGAUAGCUGCAUCACCAAAACUAGUUCUUUGUGUAUCACAGCUUAUGACUCUAAUUGUUUUACCAUCAAGGUCACACAGAAUACUUGAUUUUGGAUUAGUCAUUUACUUAUCCAUUUUGUCAAAUAUGGGUUCUGCUGAGAAAUGCCAGGAUGGCAAGUAAUUAAGCAACAAUUUUUGGAUGAUCCUUCUGAAACAACUAUAUACAUAGCUGGUUUGCAGGCUGCAUGGAAGCUUGGUGCUGCAUUCAAAUUGGUUAUCAUUUGAUUAUGACACUGCGUCUAGUAUCUGCUAAGUUUAUUGGUCUUUAGGUUCAAAAGUUUCGUUUUAUCGAAACUCUUAUGAGUUUUAUUUGGUUUGCAUAUAGUUCUCUUUUGAAGCUUGUAUUAUAUCUAAAUAUUUCUCAUGUUCUCUUUUUAGAUCUACCCCAAAUCCUGUUUUUUCUUUUUUUGAAUUCUGGGUGCACAGGCAGUGAGAUUGUAGUUGUCAGUGACAAACUAAGGAUAAAUUGGAAGAGCUUUAAGGUUGAACCGUAACAGAUGAGGAUUGGCAUAGUUGAGUUUGAGGAUGAUGUGGUACUUGACAGUGAGGGUGACGAAGUUAAUGGAAGGUGACUCAUACAAGUAUGUCUCUGGACAAAAAGUGCACUGCAGAUGGGGUUGGAAGAAUUGUUGGACUGCUAAUCGAUCAGAGGAAGGCCCCAUCAAAGUGGAUGUCUAACCUGUUACUAGAGCUCUUUAAUUUGAUGAUGUAAACUCAGGUUGUCUGAGAGGGAUUUCCCCUUAGUGUUUGUUUGUUUCGUAUCAAAAAAAAGAGUGAAUGUCUAACGCGGACCAAACAAAAGUGGAGGUGUCAUCAUGCAUCUGGGAAUCAUACACCUGCUAAAUUUAUGCUUCGAAUUUCCAGUAUUUUUCCGUGUCUCAACAAUUGUAAAGUUCAUUCGUAUCAAAAAAACAAUUUGUAAAG